rnacentral:rRNA from 1 species
CCCUGCCAUUUGUACACACCGCCCGUCGCACCUACCGAUUGAAUGGUCCGGUGAAAUCUUUGGACUGCGACUUUGUUUUGUUUAUUCAAGACGUUGACGCGGAAAAUUGAUUAAACCUUACCAUUUAG